rnacentral:lncRNA from 1 species
ACUAGCCAGUUGUGUCUGAGUUUAGCGAACCGACUAUAUAAGAAAGAAGGGAGUCUUAGUAGAAGCGAAAAUAGAGCUUAUUACUUUGAGAUAAGAAAUGAAAAAAUUAGAGUAUGUAAAGUUUUCUUUAUGAACACUUUGAACAUUUCGAAUGGGAUAGUAAUGAAAAAGCAUGCACAGCAAUUAAAAAAAAACAGAGCUAGGGUUUGCACAGAAUGACAAUCGCGGAGGAAAAAAAAUGCUUGGCGACCAAUAGUGCUAGAUGAUGAAAAAGAAUUCGUGCGGUCCCACAUCAAAUCUUUUCCAAUAAUUGACUCUCAUUAUUGCGGAGCAAGAAAAAACAAAUCUAUAAACUUAGCCACAAUGUACAGACUGUACCAAGAAAAAUGUAGAGUGGAACUGAAAAUUCCCGUAAAACUCCAUUAUUACAAGAAGAUUUUCAACAGGGAAUUUAAUAUUGCCUUUUUUCAGCCAAAAAGACCAGUGUUGUAUAAAGUAUUACAACAAGUUAAGUAUGAUGCACAUAUCAGAGAAAAAAAUCGGAUUCGGUUAGAAAAGGAGUUGGAUAUCAGGGAUUCAAAG